rnacentral:misc_RNA from 1 species
GAUGAAGAACGCAGCGAAAUGCGAUACUUGGUGUGAAUUGCAGAAUCCCGUGAACCAUCGAGUCUUUGAACGCAAGUUGCGCCCGAAGCCAUUAGGCCGAGGGCACGCCUGCCUGGGUGUCACACACCGUUACCCUCGCGCCAACGUCCAUCGUUGGCCGCGGCGCGGGGCGUGCGCUGACCUCCCGCGAGCGGGGUCUCGUGGUUGGUUGAAAAUCGAGUUCGCGGUCGAGGGUGCCGUGAUGAAAUGGUGGAUGGGCGACGCCCGAGGCCAAUCACGCGCGACUCUGUCAGGCUCGGACUCCUGGACCCCUUCGGCGUCUCCGGACGCUCUUUGGCGAGACCUCAGGUCAGGCGGGGCUACCCGCUGAGUUUAAGCAUAUCAAUAAGCGGAGGA